CUUAAAUUGAAGAGUUUGAUCAUGGCUCAGAUUGAACGCUGGCGGCAGGCCUAACACAUGCAAGUCGAGCGGAAACGAGUUAUCAGAACCUUCGGGGGACGAUAACGGCGUCGAGCGGCGGACGGGUGAGUAAUGCCUAGGAAA
rnacentral:rRNA from 1 species